rnacentral:rRNA from 1 species
GAUGAACGCUGGCGGCGUGCCUAAUACAUGCAAGUCGAGCGAACGGACGAGAAGCUUGCUUCUCUGAUGUUAGCGGCGGACGGGUGAGUAACACGUGGAUAACCUACCUAUAAGACUGGGAUAACUUCGGGAAACCGGAGCUAAUACCGGAUGAUAUUUUGAACCGCAUGGUUCAAAAGUGAAAGACGGUCUUGCUGUCACUUAUAGAUGGAUCCGCGCUGCAUUAGCUAGUUGGUAAGGUAACGGCUUACCAAGGCAACGAUGCAUAGCCGACCUGAGAGGGUGAUCAGCCACACUGGAACUGAGACACGGUCCAGACUCCUACGGGAGGCAGCAGUAGGGAAUCUUCCGCAAUGGGCGAAAGCCUGACGGAGCAACGCCGCGUGAGUGAUGAAGGUCUUCGGAUCGUAAAACUCUGUUAUUAGGGAAGAACAUAUGUGUAAGUAACUGUGCACAUCUUGACGGUACCUAAUCAGAAGGCCACGGCUAACUACGUG